rnacentral:lncRNA from 1 species
UAGUUUGGGAUUAAUUGAAUAUAUGAAAACUAGAUCUGGAUUCCUCUGGGAAAAUGAAAAUCAUGUGAAAUAAAUCCAUAUUUAAGGUGGAAGGCAGAUGGUUGCAAGCUGAGGUGAAUGACUCUAUUGAUCAAUUGGCUCUACUACUUAGUAAAUUGAAUGCUUGAAAUGGCUGCAUGGAGACACUAGCUUUUCAUUCAGAGGACCCAAAUUCGAUCCUGAUCCUAUCUUUUGAAAAAUUUAUAUAAAGGUCCGAACAGAUCAUGGAUAGUUUAUUUAUACCGACAAAUCACACGAAAGAUAUUUUUGGUAGUUUUUUCACAGUACGAUCAUCCAUGAUGGAAUUAACGGGAAUGUUGAAGAUGGGCUGGUUAAGAGUGCCAUAUCACAUAGGAAUAUACUUGUAUCGGGCGCCGGCCAUUUUUAGAAUUCAUUACCAGUUAGCCAAUACCUAUGAUGGGGUAAAUCGAAAAGUUGAAAAGUAGAGUUGAACAAAUUGAACCUGGCAUCCUGAAAACUAGCUGUAGUCCAGAAUUGAACCCAGAUUCUUCAAAGGCAUAAUCCGGCAGUUACAGGUAUAGACAAUUUGUGGUAGGAAUUAAAUUCGUUACAUCAAUAAUUAAUUUUUCAGAAGAAACUUAUUAUUAAUGGAAUUAACUGAUGUAUGUCAUGUGAAACACGGGGGGUUUAGUGGUCAGAUCUAGAAAUCAUUCUGAAAAAAUAUGGAAAUAGAGCUAGGGAAGUGAGUCUACACAUGAAAAGCUAGUAUUUUACCAACAAAACACUGGCUUUUUACCAUGUGAU